UAACCAGAUGCUCCGCAGGGCACAGCUUUAUACGACCGCAGAGGUUGAACCCUGAACGGUUGGGGCAAGUAUGGACACAACAUUCAAGCUGGAUUCAGCUCUAAAUUUGGAUUGUGAUUAAAUAGUUGACACAGCAUAGGUUUCUGACACAGAAUGAAUGUGGUCUAAUGAACUUAAAAUUUUUGUUUUGCCUUUGAGCAAUUAACUAUGCUGUUGAAUAUUAAUCCUCUCAAAAACAUGUUUGAAGAAAUUUUCUUUUUAUUUAUGAAAUCUGAAAUGAGAAAAAUUUAACCCCC
rnacentral:lncRNA from 1 species